UACAAUUAGACCUGCUGUCAAAAGUCUACAAUUAAAGCAGAGUCCUUGUGCCACACGACUCCAGUUAGCAGCACGCUGAUAUUUUUAAGAUGCAUUUGCUACAACUUGGUCUUUAAAUUCACCACAAAGAAAGUGCAAUCCCAAAAGACUGGAACAUAAAUCCAGUUUUACGAGGGAUGUUGAGAGCCUUUUCCAGCAGCAUGUAGGCUGCUGUCAAUGUCACACAACCCCUAUUUACAUCCUGUGCGGUCCGCAGUCGUAUCCAGAAAGCGGUAUUUAGAGCAACGCUGAUUCCAGGAGGCCACAGCUCACCUGCUGCCUACCAAGAAGCUCUAAUAUACCUGGAGAAAGCGAUCUGUCAGCAUUCCAAUCCAUCUCAAUGGAAGCUGCUCAGCUCCACACCCCCCAAACCACAAAAGUCUGAUUUUAUUUAUUUAUUUAUUUAUUUUUAAGAAGACAUCAUGACUCUUUCUCUUUGUACCCUCAUAGAUUUAAACACCCUAUGGUGCUUUUCUCCUGUACAUCAGCUUUUUAAUUCAUAUUUCUGUUUGAAAUAAAAGCCUUUUUGGGGCAUGU